GACGUAGGGGGCGAGCGUUGUCCGGAUUUAUUGGGCGUAAAGAGCUCGUAGGCGGCUCAGAAAGUCGGGUGUGAAACCUCCAGGCUCAACCUGGAGACGCCACCUGAUACUGCUGUGGCUAGAGUCCGGUAGGGGAACACGGAAUCCCCGGUGUAGCGGUGAAAUGCUUAGAUAUCGGGAGGAACACCAGUGGCGAAGGCGGUGUUCUGGGCCGGAACUGACGCUGAGGAGCGAAAGCGUGGGUAGCAAACAGG
rnacentral:rRNA from 1 species